rnacentral:rRNA from 1 species
UACGAAGGGGGCUAGCGUUGUUCGGAAUUACUGGGCGUAAAGCGCGCGUAGGCGGGCAUUUAAGUCAGGGGUGAAAUCCCGGGGCUCAACCCUGGAACUGCCUUUGAUACUGGGUGCCUGGAGUUCGGGAGAGGUGAGUGGAAUUCCGAGUGUAGAGGUGAAAUUCGUAGAUAUUCGGAGGAACACCAGAAGCGAAGGCGGCUCACUGGCCCGAGACUGACGCUGAGGCGCGAAAGCGUGGGGAGCAAACAGG